rnacentral:misc_RNA from 1 species
AUUUUCUAUUAGUCGCAAAUAAAAUGCAAAUUUAUAUUUUUAUAAAUAUAGAUAAAAAUCUAACAAAUAUUCUCUAUUUUAUCUAUUAAAUAUUAUAGAGAGUAUUCUGCUUUGUAUAUUAUAUACAUUUUUGCAUAUUAUAUGGAUUCUAUGCAUUUUCUCAAUCUUUCAUUUCCCAUAAACCUAAAAAAUGAUUCAAUCGACAAUGAAAUCGCAUAGAUUCGUUAAUAUGGUUCAAAAACGUAAGCUACAAAGUUUAAAAGAUAUUUAAAAAUGUUACUGGAAAUCGAAGGGCUUGCACUGGUCAGAAUAUGGAAUAAUUACUCGACUACUCGAGCAGCAAAUAUACACACCGAAGCAAAUUCAUGGAAAUUCGAGAUAAUAAAUUCUUGCUGCACGUUAAUUGUAUUAAUAAUGAAUGACGAAUUGUUAAUGCCAGACUGAAAAUAGAAAGCAGGUAUUAUUUAAUUCUAGUAUGCUUCAGCAGAACGAGAUAUUUGUUAUUUCAAGAAUUGACAACGGUUAGCACGAUUAUAAGCUAUUUGAUCGCAGAGGAUUAUGAAUGUGCAACGAUUAACUCUUGUCGGUUUCAUUGGGGUGAAAAUAUUUAUAUCGGAUUAUGUAUAUUUCAAUAAUUAUUGACGUUGAAGCGACAAUGAACAUUUUAUCAGACAAGAAGUAGUCCGCAAACGAAUGUUUAUACCGAAUAAAUACGAAUAAAUACCAAAAACUGGAAACGAAAAACGCAUUUCUGUUGAUCUUAUCAUUUAUGUAAUUUAUCACUUGUAUUUAUGUAAGUUAAGUUAUUUGAAUUCAAGUUGAUGUAAUUCAAAAUGAUAUAUAAAAAUUAUUUUUUUA